rnacentral:rRNA from 1 species
UGCAGUCGAACGCGUUGGCCCAAUUGAUUGAUGGUGCUUGCACCUGAUUGAUUUUGGUCGCCAACGAGUGGCGGACGGGUGAGUAACACGUAGGUAACCUGCCCAGAAGCGGGGGACAACAUUUGGAAACAGAUGCUAAUACCGCAUAACAGCGUUGUUCGCAUGAACAACGCUUAAAAGAUGGCUUCUCGCUAUCACUUCUGGAUGGACCUGCGGUGCAUUAGCUUGUUGGUGGGGUAACGGCCUACCAAGGCGAUGAUGCAUAGCCGAGUUGAGAGACUGAUCGGCCACAAUGGGACUGAGACACGGCCCAUACUCCUACGGGAGGCAGCAGUAGGGAAUCUUCCACAAUGGGCGCAAGCCUGAUGGAGCAACACCGCGUGAGUGAAGAAGGGUUUCGGCUCGUAAAGCUCUGUUGUUAAAGAAGAACACGUAUGAGAGUAACUGUUCAUACGUUGACGGUAUUUAACCAGAAAGUCACGGCUAACUACGUGCCAGCAGCCGCGGUAAUACGUAGGUGGCAAGCGUUAUCCGGAUUUAUUGGGCGUAAAGAGAGUGCAGGCGGUUUUCUAAGUCUGAUGUGAAAGCCUUCGGCUUAACCGGAGAAGUGCAUCGGAAACUGGAUAACUUGAGUGCAGAAGAGGGUAGUGGAACUCCAUGUGUAGCGGUGGAAUGCGUAGAUAUAUGGAAGAACACCAGUGGCGAAGGCGGCUACCUGGUCUGCAACUGACGCUGAGACUCGAAAGCAUGGGUAGCGAACAGGAUUAGAUACCCUGGUAGUCCAUGCCGUAAACGAUGAGUGCUAGGUGUUGGAGGGUUUCCGCCCUUCAGUGCCGGAGCUAACGCAUUAAGCACUCCGCCUGGGGAGUACGACCGCAAGGUUGAAACUCAAAGGAAUUGACGGGGGCCCGCACAAGCGGUGGAGCAUGUGGUUUAAUUCGAAGCUACGCGAAGAACCUUACCAGGUCUUGACAUCUUGCGCCAACCCUAGAGAUAGGGCGUUUCCUUCGGGAACGCAAUGACAGGUGGUGCAUGGUCGUCGUCAGCUCGUGUCGUGAGAUGUUGGGUUAAGUCCCGCAACGAGCGCAACCCUUGUUACUAGUUGCCAGCAUUAAGUUGGGCACUCUAGUGAGACUGCCGGUGACAAACCGGAGGAAGGUGGGGACGACGUCAGAUCAUCAUGCCCCUUAUGACCUGGGCUACACACGUGCUACAAUGGACGGUACAACGAGUCGCGAACUCGCGAGGGCAAGCAAAUCUCUUAAAACCGUUCUCAGUUCGGACUGCAGGCUGCAACUCGCCUGCACGAAGUCGGAAUCGCUAGUAAUCGCGGAUCAGCAUGCCGCGGUGAAUACGUUCCCGGGCCUUGUACACACCGCCCGUCACACCAUGAGAGUUUGUAACACCCAAAGUCGGUGGGGUAACCUUUAGGAGCCAGCCG